GCCCAGCUAGCUCAGUUGGUAGAGCAUGUGACUCUUGACCUUGACAUGGUGAGUUCAAGUCCAUGUUGGGUG
rnacentral:tRNA from 1 species